CUUUGGGAGGCUGAGGCAGGCAGAUCACCUAAGGCCAGGAAUUCGACACCAGCCUGGCCAACGUGGCAAAACCCGUCUCUACUAAAAAUACAAAAAUUAGCCGGGCGUGGUGGUGUGCGCCUGGAAUCCCAGCUACCCAGGAGGCUGAGGCAGGAGAAAAGCUGGAACCCGGGAGGCAGAGGCUGCAGUGAGCUGAGAUCAUGCCACUACUGCACUCCAGCCUGGGUGACACAGCAAGACUCCCUCUAAAAAAAGAAAAAAAGAAAAGAAAAGAAAAGAAAAUGAUAUAUCCAUGAUGGAUUAAAAUGGAGUGGAACCCACUGAUGGUAUGCAGCUGAUAAGACGCUAUAGAGAAAUGAUAUCCAGACACAUGGUGAGACUUUUUCUCCUCUGUAAAUCUCAAUUCUUGUGAUUCUUUCAAAGGGAAAGCCACAGAAGGUACCAGUUAUCCACUCACUGACUUAGGUGCCUCCACUAGAAUUCUCAGCACGUUUUUGCAGAACCUGGGCAACAAGAGCGAAACCCCAUCUCAAAACAACAACAACAACAGCAGGACAACAGAGAUGGACGACGGAUCGGGAAAGCCAAUCAGAUAGCGUGAGGCCAGGACGGAAAGAGGCACAGGGAGCUCUGCUCAGUUUCGCUACAGGGGAUCUCUCAGGCUCACAAUGGGCCAGUCCUCUAGGGAAGUUCUGGUCUCAUCAUGAUCCUUCUUUGGUCUCACUCCCCAUGUCCUUCUCUGUCCCUCCUCCCACUGCCAUUUAUUUAUUUAACUGAAAAAGUACCAAUCACCCACAUAGGCAUAACAUACUCAUCCAUGUACCCAUUUCUUAAAAUUGGUCAUUGUUAACAUUUGGUGUAAUUUGCUUUAUUUAUUUUUAAUGAAAUAAAUAAAACUUUACAGAAAAUGCUUUAUUUUUCUCUUUGUUCCCUCCCCAUCCUAUCUUUUUCUCCUAAAAAACCCUAUUAUCAGAAAUAUUAGUGUGUAUUCCCAGUUUUGAUUUUUUAUUUUAUUACACACACACUCCCAUGCAUAGCUGUGACAAUGAACUUCACAUAGUAUGGUUCUGUAUUUUCUCUUUGUUUUUCAAACUUACAUAAGUAUUUUACUAUUUCUCAUGGAAAAACUCACUUUUCCCAUCCAACGUUACGUUUUCUUAAGAUCUCUCUAUGUUGAUAUAAAGAAAUCUAGUUCAUUCUUUUUAAUGAAAAUAAAGCAUAUUUUAUGAAUGUAACUCAUGCUAACCAUGGCAAUAAAAGCUCCAUCAAGCAUGCAUUUAGU
rnacentral:antisense_RNA from 1 species